CUACGAGGGGCGCAGGUAACGUGGGCAGAACCCGUGCCUGGCACUGGCUGGUGCCUGCUGGAGCUCAUCCAAAAUGUCCUGGCCCCAGGAAGGGGCUUGGAAGGGGCUUGUGCCAGCGGGUGAGCUAGCAGGGGGUGGGGGCACCUCGGGGAGAGCCCCCCUGGAACAACCCCUCUCUUGUUUGAAAGCAGAACUGGUGCUGCGGGUAGGUGGGAGGCAGGACAGGCUCCGCACCAGGGGGAUGUGGCACCAAGCGGGAGGGAAAGUGAGGUUCAGGAGGGGGCACAGGGCUGGCGGGGUGAGGAUGAGGACGCUGCCCCUGCCCCUGCCCCUGCCCCUGCCCCUGCCCCUGCCCCUGCCCCUGCUCCUGCUCCUGCUCCUGCUCGCUCUGUGGUUAUUUGCAGUUUGCCAGAGGCCCCCUGGGCACAGAGCAUUUGGCCAGCAAAAGCGGCGGCAGCAGCGGGUGCCCCGAGGAGCAGAGAGCUUCUGGAGGAGUGGAGAGGUGCAGGCCAGGGUGUGCCGGAGUGAAAAUCCGGGUGGGAAACCGCAAACACGGGGAGGAUGCCCUGGGGGGGCAGGAGCAGGGAGCGUCCCCGGGGCGCACAGCACGCGCUGCUCUGGAGGUUUGCUGCACGUGCAGCUCGGCGGGACGGGGUCAGGGUGGUGCUGGGGACCCCUUUUCAGGCACGUGGGGCUCUGUGGGGACACAGCCACAUCCCCCCUGGGCACUGCCACCACUCCAGGUCAGGAGGGUGCCUGGGCGCGUGGUGCCUGGGGCACCUGGGGACACCGACCCUCACCACAGGGGUGUCCCCAGCGGUUCCUCACCUGCCUUGGGCUGCCCCGGUGCUGCUCGUGGCAGCGUGUCAAAUUCCACUGAGAUUGCAUCUACCACAUCGCCGUGCCUUCGUGAACGCUGUGCCCAGCAGCCAAGGAAAGCUGGCUGGCUUCGUGGGGCGCAGCCGCUUCCAAAAUCUGCGGGGUUUUCUCCCAGUUCCUCCUAGCCCUGCUUUGUGCCUUGGCUGUGACCUUGUGCCACUGG
rnacentral:lncRNA from 1 species